UUUAUGGAGAGUUUGAUCCUGGCUCAGGAUGAACGCUGGCGGCGUGCCUAAUACAUGCAAGUCGAGCGAACAGAUAAGGAGCUUGCUCCUUUGACGUUAGCGGCGGACGGGUGAGUAACACGUGGAUAACCUACCUAUAAGACUGGGAUAACUUCGGGAAACCGGAGCUAAUACCGGAUAACAUAUUGAACCGCAUGGUUCAAUAGUGAAAGGCGGCUUUGCUGUCACUUAUAGAUGGAUCCGCGCCGUAUUAGCUAGUUGGUAAGGUAACGGCUUACCAAGGCAACGAUACGUAGCCGACCUGAGAGGGUGAUCGGCCACACUGGAACUGAGACACGGUCCAGACUCCUACGGGAGGCAGCAGUAGGGAAUCUUCCGCAAUGGGCGAAAGCCUGACGGAGCAACGCCGCGUGAGUGAUGAAGGUUUUCGGAUCGUAAAACUCUGUUAUCAGGGAAGAACAAAUGUGUAAGUAACUGUGCACAUCUUGACGGUACCUGAUCAGAAAGCCACGGCUAACUACGUGCCAGCAGCCGCGGUAAUACGUAGGUGGCAAGC
rnacentral:rRNA from 1 species